CGAUUCUGUUCUUAAUUGAAUGGAGUAGCUAUCUCUCGGGGUGGUCAAUUGGUUGUUAUAUCUCCACUAAUGAGCGGAGAGGGGUAAAACCUUCAAAGUAAGUUAUGUGGGUCAAGGUAUAAUGAUUAAUUGGAGUUCUAGUUCAUUUACUUUGAGAAAAUUAGAGUGUUUAAAGCAGCCUCUUGGGGGCACUGAAUACAUUAGCAUGGGAUAAUAAAAUAGGAUCUUCACAAUAUAUUUUAUUGGUUUAAAUUGCGUAUGAAGAUAAUGAUUAAUAGGGACAGUUGGGGGUAUUCAUAUUGGGUGGUUAGCGGUGAAAUGCUCGGAUCCAUUCAAGAUGAACUAAAGCGAAGGCAUUUACCAAGGAUGUUUUCAUUAAUCAAGAACGAAAGUUAAGGGGAUCGAAGACGAUUAGAUACCGUCGUAGUCUUAACUAUAAACUAUGCCGACCAGGGAU
rnacentral:rRNA from 1 species